rnacentral:lncRNA from 10 species
UUAGCUCUGGCCAGGGGCGCUGCAACGGGCUCAGCCUUCUAGGGGUGGCGGGUGAAGGCCUACACCUGCCCCAGGACGGCCAGGUCCACCAGCACCUGCAACAGACGGAGAACUGAAGGAGCAUCUUGAAGCUGUGGCUGUCUUGAAGGUGUCGCCGCUUGUCCUCACGAGCACCAUUUUGAUUCUCGUGCCCUGUGUGCAUGGGUGGCCAGCGUUGCUGGUAGGGCUCCUGCACGCUCAGAGUGGCCUUGGCCAGGAAGUCCAGGGUUUCCGCAGGCAGAGUGUAUGAACAAGAUGCCACAGACAUGUGAGAAAUGGAACUUUUGACAAGAUCUGUGAAAAGAAUGGUAUUUUAUUGUAUUAGGAUUCUCCAGAGGGACAGAACUGAUCGGAUAUAUGUGUAUAUGAAAAGGAGUUUAUUAGGGAGAAUUGGCUCACAUGAUCAUAAGGCA